GACGAACGCUGGCGGCGUGCUUAACACAUGCAAGUCGAACGGAAAGGCCCUGCUUUUGUGGGGUGCUCGAGUGGCGAACGGGUGAGUAACACGUGAGUAACCUGCCCUUGACUUUGGGAUAACUUCAGGAAACUGGGGCUAAUACCGGAUAGGAGCUCCUGCUGCAUGGUGGGGGUUGGAAAGUUUCGGCGGUUGGGGAUGGACUCGCGGCUUAUCAGCUUGUUGGUGGGGUAGUGGCUUACCAAGGCUUUGACGGGUAGCCGGCCUGAGAGGGUGACCGGCCACAUUGGGACUGAGAUACGGCCCAGACUCCUACGGGAGGCAGCAGUGGGGAAUAUUGCACAAUGGGCGGAAGCCUGAUGCAGCAACGCCGCGUGCGGGAUGACGGCCUUCGGGUUGUAAACCGCUUUCGCCUGUGACGAAGCGUGAGUGACGGUAAUGGGUAAAGAAGCACCGGCUAACUACGUGCCAGCAGCCGCGGUGAUACGUAGGGUGCGAGCGUUGUCCGGAUUUAUUGGGCGUAAAGGGCUCGUAGGUGGUUGAUCGCGUCGGAAGUGUAAUCUUGGGGCUUAACCCUGAGCGUGCUUUCGAUACGGGUUGACUUGAGGAAGGUAGGGGAGAAUGGAAUUCCUGGUGGAGCGGUGGAAUGCGCAGAUAUCAGGAGGAACACCAGUGGCGAAGGCGGUUCUCUGGGCCUUUCCUGACGCUGAGGAGCGAAAGCGUGGGGAGCGAACAGGCUUAGAUACCCCGGUAGUCCACGCUGUAAACGGUGGGUACUAGGUGUGGGGUCCAUUCCACGGGUUCCGUGCCGUAGCUAACGCUUUAAGUACCCCGCCCGGGGAGUACGGCCGCAAGGCUAAAACUCAAAGGAAUUGACGGGGCCCCGCACAAGCGGCGGAGCAUGCGGAUUAAUUCGAUGCAACGCGUAGAACCUUACCUGGGUUUGACAUGGAUCGGGAGUGCUCAGAGAUGGGUGUGCCUCUUUUGGGGUCGGUUCACAGGUGGUGCAUGGCUGUCGUCAGCUCGUGUCGUGAGAUGUUGGGUUAAGUCCCGCAACGAGCGCAACCCUUGUUCACUGUUGCCAGCACGUUAUGGUGGGGACUCAGUGGAGACCGCCGGGGUCAACUCGGAGGAAGGUGGGGAUGACGUCAAGUCAUCAUGCCCCUUAUGUCCAGGGCUUCACGCAUGCUACAAUGGCUGGUACAGAGAGUGGCGAGCCUGUGAGGGUGAGCGAAUCUCGGAAAGCCGGUCUCAGUUCGGAUUGGGGUCUGCAACUCGACCUCAUGAAGUCGGAGUCGCUAGUAAUCGCAGAUCAGCAACGCUGCGGUGAAUACGUUCCCGGG
rnacentral:rRNA from 1 species